AUUUUGGCAAACGUAAUACUUUUUUGUUUACUUCAUGCAGUUCAAUCUGAUAAAUUUAAUAUAAAAGAUUUCUUGUUAACGUGACUAUAUUAUAGUAUACUAAUGGGCAAGGGAAAGGGCGGAAAAGGAGGUGGUGCUGCCCCAGCAGCUGCAGCUGAUAAAAAGGCCGCCGGUGCCAAAGGCGCAGACUCAAAAACAGCCACCAAAGAGACGGGGGGAGCUAAAGGAGGCAAAAAAGGAGGGAAGAAGUGAAUUAAGGGACCAUUUUAAUUAAAUAUAAGAGAUUUUUGUUAUUAUAUAAAUAAAUUAUUUUUUGAAAGUUU